rnacentral:rRNA from 1 species
AUUGAACGCUGGCGGCAGGCCUAACACAUGCAAGUCGAACGAGUGGCAGACGGGUGAGUAAUGUCUGGGAAACUGCCCGAUGGAGGGGGAAAACUACUGGACACGGUCGCUAAUACCGUAUACCCUUGGAUGUGCCCAGAUGGGAUUAGCUAGUAGGUGGGGUAACGGCUCACCUAGGCGACGAUCCCUAGCUGGUCUGAGAGGAUGACCAGCCACUGUGGAACGGCGACACGGUCCAGACUCCUACGGGAGGCAGCAGUGGGGAAUAUUGCACAAUGGGCGCAAGCCUGAUGCAGCCAUGCCGCGUGUGUGAAGAAGGCCUUCGGGUUGUAAAGCACUUUCAGCGAGGAGGCGUUACUCGCAGAAGAAGCACCGGCUAACUCCGUGCCAGCAGCCGCGGUAAUAC